CUAAAAUUCAUCUGGAAACAACGAAAACCUACAGCAACAACUUAUUUCAAUGAAUUGGAUCAAUCAAGCUGGAUUAAUAAUGAACACAAAAGAUGACGCGACAUUUACUCAAAUUAGGCUUUAUUGUACAUAUUUUCACGAGUAAAGACAAAUGGUCGAAACAAUUCCCAUAAGUCAAUGAGCGAUAUGGCGCUUUCAGGAAAGCGGUCUGAUGACUGCGUUGCUCGUUUCACCUUGGUAUCUCUGUUUUUCUUCUGCAUCGUGGGGUUUCUUCUUGGAAUCGUGUUUAUCUAUUUGAAUAUGAACGAUCGAAUUACGAGGCUCGAGCAAAAGGUUUUCCCUGAGGGCAGUGAUUAAUCGAACACAUACCCACAACAGCAGCUUCUCGAGGGUCGUGUUGAUCUCAAGGAGAAAGGAAAUCAGUUUACAUUACAGAAACGCGGUGAAAAACUCGUGAAACACGAAUAUUGCUAAGACAUUACAAGAGAUGGCGAGCACUUCAAAACUUCGAUAUCUUUUUCUCAUUACUCACGGUGUAAUUAGAGUUGGACUGAAGGAAGAAGAAGCAGGAUCAAUUUUUACUAAAAAGUGUGUAAUACUAAAUGUCUCCGCUUUGAACCUUACCACGGCCAGUAAAACGCUUUGUAAUGACAUAACCAAUGAUGCUUUGAAUCAGAACUGUAACAGAUACCUAGCGAUAGCGAUUUUCUGAAAGCGACCUGAAGAGGAUUACGAAGAUUUAAACCUGUCGCGGGAGCGCACGUCAUUUACGCGGCGUAUCUAGGCGUGCAGACGAUGGGAAAAGCUCUUCCGCAUUUCGCGUUCUUGUCACGCUUGCCUCCAAACACUUGCAAAACGCAAAAACUACGUCUUGUCUGCAGGCUAAGAAUUGUCGUUGUAAAUACGGUGAAUUGGUUAGUAAAGAUUUCAAAGAAAGAAAAGAUCUGGAGCAGUUCCGAGACCCGGCUGAAUAGGGCCAAGUAACAAAUUCGGAAUGUGACGUGUAGCUGGAUGUACAAGACUCAAUGUAAGAGACAGUUUCACUUGAUCGUUUUUGUAUCAAAAUCUUUAAUCCAAAUUACUGCUCCGCCUUUUUUUAAUUCUUACGAGCUGCGGUUUGUGGUUAUUCGAAAUUCGGACACUUUUGCUUUCGAAGUACUAAUUUAGUUGAUUUUAAAAAAUUCAAACUUUCGUGCUUCGAUGAAACUUUUAAUUAAAGAUGACAUAGAUGUUGUAUAA